rnacentral:rRNA from 1 species
AACGAACGCUGGCGGCAUGCCUAACACAUGCAAGUCGAACGAGACCUUCGUGUCUAGUGGCGCACGGGUGCGUAACGCGUGGGAACCUGCCCUUAGGUUCGGAAUAACUCCCCGACAGGGGUGCUAAUACCGGAUAAUGUCUUCGGACCAAAGAUUUAUCGCCUUUGGAUGGGCCCGCGUUGCAUUAGCUUGUUGGUAGGGUAAAAGCCUACCAAGGCGACGAUCCAUAGCUGGUCUGAGAGGAUGAUCAGCCACACUGGGACUGAGACACGGCCCAGAAUCCUACGGGAGGCAGCAGUGGGGAAUAUUGGACAAUGGGCGAAAGGCUGAUCCAGCAAUGCCGCGUGAGUGAUGAAGGCCUUAGGGUUGUAAAGCUCUUUUACCCGGGAUGAUAAUGACAGUACCGGGAGAAUAAGCUCCGGCUAACUCCGUG